CCCGACCCCGGCCGGCCCCCGCCCGGCUCCAGUCCCCGCCACCCGUGCUAGGCACCCUGUGCGGUCGGGCAGGCAGCCGCUGCCAGCGACCUGGGCCUCUUGUCCUCUGACGCGCCUCGGGGCAGGGGCAGGGGCCGAGGCCGCCCACUAGAGGAACAGGAUCUGCCUACGCAGCUGUCUCGCCCGGCAAAGAGCGCCCAGGACCCGGGACUGCGUCCUCUUCACUGAGACCUGGCGCAUAGGGGGCCUAGUCGAGGCUGUUAAGUGAAAGCAAGCAGGGGUGGCGUGGGCCUGGCGCUCAGGUGCGCCCUAAAUGUUUGGUCAUAGCUGGCUACAAGGACAUUCGCGCAGGCUUGGAGGUGCGGGGCAGCCUGACGUGUUGCCUCUGGGGUAACCGAGGGACGCGCGGCAAACAGAGAUGGAGGACUGGCAACGGGUGCCUCGAAGAGGUCUCCUUCAGUACCUCCCACUGGCUGAGCCAGCAGGAAGCCUACAAGCAAGGAACCCA
rnacentral:lncRNA from 1 species